rnacentral:rRNA from 1 species
UACGUAGGGGGCAAGCGUUGUCCGGAUUUACUGGGCGUAAAGGGCGCGUAGGCGGUCCGUUAAGCGUGGAGUGAAAUUCCCAGGGCUCAACCCGGGAACUGCUCUGCGAACUGGCGGACUGGAGGAAGGCAGAGGUGAGUGGAAUUCCCGGUGUAGCGGUGACAUGCAUUGAUAUCGGGAGGAACACCCAUGGCGAAGGCAGCUCACUGGGCCUUUCCUGACGCUGAGGCGCGAAAGCGUGGGUAGCAAACAGA